CCCAGGCCUAUAGUAGUGAGAUUGGAUGAUGGAGAUGUGGCACCAAUUUCAGUCAAAAGACCAGAGCCAAUGGAUGAUAUUGUAUUGAAUUACAAGCAAGUGGGAAUGAGAACAUUAUUGAAAGUAUUCUCCUUAGUUGGCUCAUGUUGGAGUAUUCUCCCUUCUUCCUCUGUAUCUUCUAAUGGCUAUGUGGUGUUAUCAUUAUUGAAAGGUA